AUUGAACGCUGGCGGCAUGCCUAACACAUGCAAGUCGAACGGUAACAGGCCCUUCGGGGCGCUGACGAGUGGCGGACGGGUGAGUAAUACUUAGGAAUCUACCCUGUAGUGGGGGACAACCCGAGGAAACUCGGGCUAAUACCGCAUACGCUCUACGGAGGAAAGCGGGGACCGCAAGGCCUCGCGCUAUCGGAGCGGCCGAUGUCAGAUUAGGUUGUUGGUGGGGUAAAGGCCUACCAAGCCGACGAUCUGUAGCUAGUCUGAGAGGACGACCAGCCACACUGGGACUGAGACACGGCCCAGACUCCUACGGGAGGCAGCAGUGGGGAAUUUGGACAAUGGGCGCAAGCCUGAUCCAGCCAUGCCGCGUGCGGGAAGAAGGCCU
rnacentral:rRNA from 1 species